rnacentral:rRNA from 1 species
CCUACGGGUGGCAGCAGUGAGGAAUAUUGGUCAAUGGUCGGGAGACUGAACCAGCCAAGCCGCGUGAGGGAUGAAGGUACAGAGUAUCGUAAACCUCUUUUGUCAGGGAACAAAGGCGGGGACGCGUCCCCGGAUGAGUGUACCUGACGAAAAAGCAUCGGCUAACUCCGUGCCAGCAGCCGCGGUAAUACGGAGGAUGCGAGCGUUAUCCGGAUUUAUUGGGGUUAAAGGGUGCGUAGGCGGUCUGUCAAGUCAGCGGUCAAAGCGCGGGGCUCAACCCCGGCCCGCCGUUGAAACUGGAAGUCUUGAGUUGGAGAGAGGUAGGCGGAAUGCGCGGUGUAGCGGUGAAAUGCAUAGAUAUCGCGCAGAACUCCGAUUGCGAAGGCAGCAUGCCGGCUCCACACUGACGCUGAGGCACGAAGGCGUGGGUAUCGAACAGGAGUAGAUACCCUUGUAGUC